GGCGUGUGUGCGCGAUGUGAGCAGGGGGUGCCGGCGGGGCUGCAGCGGAGGCACUCUGGAAGAAUGACUCUGGAGUCCAUCAUGGCGUGCUGCCUGAGCGAGGAGGCCAAGGAAGCCCGGCGGAUCAACGACGAGAUCGAGCGGCAGCUCCGCAGGGACAAGCGGGAUGCCCGCCGGGAGCUCAAGCUGCUGCUGCUCCGGACAGGAGAGAGUGGCAAGAGUACCUUUAUCAAGCAGCUGAGAAUCAUCCAUGGGUCAGGAUACUCUGAUGAAGAUAAAAGGGGCUUCACCAAGCUGGUGUAUCGGAACAUCUUCACGGCCAUGCAGGCCAUGAUCAGAGCCAUAGACUCACUCAAGAUCCCAUACAAGUAUGAGCACAUACAAGUAUGAGCUCAUGCACAAUUAGUUCGAGAAGUUGAUGUGGAGAAGGGGUCUGCUUUUGAGAAUCCAUAUGUAGAUGCAAUAAAGAGUUUAUGGAAUGAUCCUGGAAUCCAGGAAUGCUAUGAUAGACGACGAGAAUAUCAAUUAUCUGACUCUACCAAAUACUAUCUUAAUGACUUGGACCACGUAGCUGACCCUGGCUACGCAACAAGAUGUGCUUAGAGUUCGAGUCCCCACCACAGGGAUCGUCGAAUACCCCUUUGACUUACAAAGUGUCAUUUUCAGAAUGUUCGAUGUAGGGGGCCAAAGGUCAGAGAGAAGAAAAUGGAUACACUGCUUUGAAAAUGUCACCUCUAUCAUGUUUCUAGUAGCGCUUAGUGAAUAUGAUCGAGUUCUCGUGGAGUCAGACAAUGAGAACCGAAUGGAGGAAAGCAAGGCUCUCUUUAGUACAAUUAUCACGUAUCCCUGGUUCCAGAACUCCUCGGUUAUUCUGUUGUUAAACAAGAAAGAUCUUCCAGAGGAGAAAAUCAUGUAUUCCCAUCUAGUCGACUACUUCCCAGAAUAUGAUGGACCCCAGAGAGAUGCCCAGGCAGCCCGAGAAUUCAUUCUGAAGAUGUUCGUGGACCUGAACCCAGUGACCAAAUUAUCUACUCCCACUUCACAUGCGCCACAGACACCGAGAAUAUCCGCUUUGUGUUUGCUGCCGUCAAGGACACCAUCCUCCAGUUGAACCUGAAGGAUUACAAUCUGGUCUAGUUGUGCCUCCUAGACACCCGCCCUGCCCUUCCAUGGUGGGCUAUUGAAGAUACACAAGAGGGACUGUAUUUCUGUGGAAAACAAUUUGCAUAAUACUAAUUUAUUGCCGUCCUGGACUCUGUGUGAGCGUGUCCACAGAGUUUGUAGUAAACAUUAUGAUUUUAUUUAAACUAUUCAGAGGAAAAACAGAGGAUGCUGAAGUACAGUCCCAGCACAUUUCCUCUCUAUCUUUUUUUUAGGCAAAACCUUGUGACUCGGUGUAUUUUAAAUUCUCAGUCAUGCACUCACAAAGAUAAGACUUGUUUCUUUCUCUCUCUCUCUUUCUCUCUUUUUCUUUUCUAUGGAGCAAAACAAAGCUGAUUUCCCUUUUUUCCCCCCUAAUUCAUACCUCCCUCCUGAUUUUUUUCCCAUGUUACAAUGGCCUUUAUCCUAGUUCCAUUCUUGGUCAAGUUUUUCUCUCAAAUGUUACAGUCAGGACACAUCGUUCGAUGUAAGCCAUCAUCAGCUUUAUAUAAGUUUGUAGUUUUUGCUGAAGGAUUAUAUGUAUUAAUACUAUGGUUUUAAAUGUGUUGCUCUGGAUACACACAUGGUUUCUUUUUUAAUAGAAUAUACUGUCUUGUCUCACUUUGGACUGGGACAAUGGAUGCCCGUCUAACAGUUAAGUGUCAUUUCUUUUAGAUGUUUACCUUCAGCCAUAGCUUGAUUGCUCAGAGAAAUAUGCAGAAGGCAGGAUCAAAGACACGCAGGAGUCCUUUCUUUUGAAAUGCCACGUGCCAUUGUCUUUCCUCCCUUCUUUGCUUCUUUUUCUUACCCUCUCUUUCAAUUGCAGAUGCCAAAAAAGAUGCCAACACACACUACAUUACCCUAAUGGCUGCUACCCAGAAACUUUUUAGAGGUUGUUCUUAAUUUUUUAUUGUUGUUGUUUGAGCUUUUCCUUUCUUUUUUUUUCCUUAGUGUUUGGGCCACAAUUUUAAAAUGACUUUUAUUAUGGGUAUGUGUUGCCAAAGCUGGCUUUUUGUCAAAUAAAAUGAAUAAGAACUUAAAAAAUAAAAGCUGGUAUCUUAAAAUGUAAGAGAGUAAGACUGUGAAGCCUAAAAUGACUGGCUGAGAAUGAACCAGAAAUGCCAAUUGCCAAACAGUUGGAACUGUAAAUUUGAUUCUCACGGUCCAUUCUUUUCUUUGUCCUUAAGAUGACGUUGUUAGUGUUCACGUCCCAUGUUCAGUGUCCAAACCGGCAAUGUAAAAAGUAUCUUGUGAGGUUUAACAGGAAAUCUGUUUAUGUCUCUUUAUUUGAAACCAGUUUUACUCUCAAUGGUUCUUUAAGUUCAAUUAAGUCUGCCAGGAACAUUGGUUGAUAGUAUUAUUCUGACACCUUUAAUUUCCUAAAUCUGAAGUUCCUGCUAGUUUACCACCUUCAAGAUCUUCUUGAACUGGUAACUGAUUAGGUUGAACUUACGGAAGAUUUGUGGACUUAAAAGUAACCUCUCAGUGUUCUAUAGAACAUGUAUUUGUGUAACUGAACCUACCAAGAGAAAUGUUUGGAAUUCUAUAUGUGCAAUUUUUCAACAAAUGCAAAAAAAAUACAGCACAUGUAUUGACAAGCUUCUGUCAAGCAGCUUGAGUUGAAAUUUGAUUUAAGAAAAUAAAUCAUGAUUGUUUAAAGCUGCUGGGACGUCAGAAUUAGGCCAUGAUACUGGUCUCAUUUUAACUAUAGUGCUAUUUGGCACUAGUCUAAACUUCCAUAUAAAUCACUGUUUUGGAACAACAAAAUGGGGAGGGAGAAAAAUCACGGCCUGUUAGAUGAGUACCAAAACCACCAAACAGUAAUGAGAUGUUCUCAUCCUUGAUUCUCCCAGCCUCAAACAACACAGGUUACUUUUUUUUCCCCUUGCUCAGAAAGCACCUGUAAUUUAACAAACAGACUGCCUGCAGGUAUAGUGCAAUUACAAAUGCUCUAAUCAUUGUACGUACAUCUCUCUUGAUAUUGCAGCAUCCAUACUGGCUUUGUAAUCAUUAAUUUUUUGGCAGAUUGAAUGUGCUGUAUCGAUAUGUAUCUAUGUAAUUGUAUGUCUAUAGCUAAUUCACAUUUUGAAUAAUGUUAUUUUAUUUACUUUUUUAAGAGAGGAGAAUGUAAAUUUGUCAGUUUAUUUCUGACUAGGGAUAUUUUCUUUCUAUUUAGAAAAGAAGAAAAAAAAACCUUACUGUCAUACAGAACGGUACUAGCGUCAUGCUGUAUAAAAUCAUUUGCACAUUCCUGAGUAGAGGUAUACUGAUUAUAAGAUCCAAAGGUAAUUUCAUAGCAAAAUACAUAAAAUCAGUCGGAGCUUUUAUACAAACAUGGAAACCAACUUAGUGGCACUUUUGCUGUUUGAUCUAGGAUUGGAAUAUGAGCUUUUAUACAAUUCAUAUUCUUAUUUGGCAAAUGCACAGUUUAGUAUUACCUCUCUGAUGGCCUUUACUAGAAAGGCAGUUUUAGAAGCUAUUGUGAUCCACUAAGGAAAUGUUUUAACAGCUAGAGACCACUGCUUGCCUGAAAGGGCGUUCUUAAAUUUGGUGCAUCAAAAAAAAAAAAAAAUUAAACAACAACAUUUGAAGGCCUACAGUGUGUAUAGAGAAAACCUCAUCACAAGAUCAUAAGUGUCACGGUUUUAGGGAAUCAAGAUAUUCUAUUUAAUAGAGCUAUAGUAGAUGUAGUCAAUUAAACCUGAUCUCAAAGCUUGAAGAAGCUGAGCAAAACAGGGAAAGAUUGUUAUAUUGGUCAUUAUGAAAUUGGGAUGGAAUUUGCUAUGCAGAAUUGAGGUUUGUGGCUUCACUGUUCCUGUAGGGUGCAUGACAAGAUCCCUUCUCUUGAGGAAGGACAAAAUUGAUCACCCUAGCAGCAGUGAUGCAUAGAAACCUAAUUUUAGCCACACCAGUCAAUCGAAGCUAAAGGAUUUUCUUUUUUGUUUCUUUGGGGUUUUAUUGAAGGGGCUAGGGGCGGGAUGGGAUUCUCUUCAGUUUUGUAUAAAAACAAAGUUUACUCAUGCUUUAUAUUAUAUUGUGAUUGCAGGCGUUAUAAGCGUGUGCCACUGGCCUCCUAUUGUUGAUGCUUAGGUAAUGGAGGCCUGUGGUGAGUUUUAUGGUGACUUGGGCAUGUCUUAUUGAAAAACAAAAACAUAAAACACAGAAACCUUUCGUCUGCAUACCAAGGCAAGCAGCCAUUUCAUGACUGACUUAACACAUUGCAGUGUAGCAGUUUACAGAUGAUUUUUCCCUUUUUGCAUGACAUGGCAGUUCUAACCCCCAGAGAAUUCCUUAUUUGUAAAUUGGAAGUUUCUACUAUGCCUUACAGAGCUUAAAUUCAGAAGUUUGUGCCUCAUAUCUGAAACAAAGGGAAAUAACACACCCAUUCAAAAGUAAAUAAAUCUCCUAGAAGUUCUUGUUUUUAACAUUUCCAUAUAAAAAGCCCUGUUGAAUGUCAUGAAUAGACUGGAAAAAAAAUUUUUAGGAACCUGCAUAUGUUGUUUACUAGCAGAUGACAACUACAAAAGGAAUUUGAAGAACACGUGAAACUUGUUUUUUUUUUGGUAGAUUAACUAGCAGGCCUAUUUUAAAAAGGUAAUUCAGCUAAAGGGCAAUUUACUUUUUUGUACUUCAGACUAUCUUGAUUGUCAAAGUGUACGAACUGUAAUUUUAAAAUUUAUACUGCCACAUGAUUGUAAAUUUUAGUUGUCUUAAGUUAGGAAUUGGUGAAAAGCUAUUUAUGCUGGAUUUGGGUCAAAAUGACUUAUUUGCAAAAAAAAAUAAAUAAUGGGAAGAAAGGGCUGCAUAAUGACAGAAAAAAAAAAAGCUUCAUCACAUACUGAGGACUUUCCAAGUCACCUGGUACAUGAUAAGUGCUUGACAUAGGGUAGCUGUUACAAUUGUUGUCGAUAUUAGUAUAUUACAGCAAAAAACUUGCUUUAAUUCUCACAUUAGCUGAACAGCAUAAAGGGUGAGAUGAUUUGGUAGUCAUGCUGACAAAUUGCUUUCCAGCAGUGGGAAGGGAGGCUGCAGGAACAGCAGAGAACAAUUCGGGACAAGAAGAAAACAGCAGGGUGCACCAGACGUAGUAAUCCCCUAAAACCAAAGGGAAAGCCGCCCGCUCCCACGCAGUAAAACUAGGAGUAUCCAGGAAUGAACAAACCCGAAAAGAACGUGAGCUGUUUUCCAAAACGGAGACCUCCUCAGAGGAUGAGGCCGGGCAUUUCCUGGGACAGCCUGUGUUAAGACCACGUGCCCCUUGCCCUAACAACUCACUGUAGUACUCUUCAUAGACACAUCUUGCAGCAUUUCUCUUAAUACUAUGCUUGUUUUUCUUUCUAAGCCACCACAAGCCAUAGUGAUAGGUUUGCCCUUUGGUACAAAAGGUGCAUUAAAACUGGUGGAAAAGGCUUACUGCAUUCUGGAUAACCUGUGUGCAUACUUUAUGAAAUCUCUUGUGUGGGGAAAAAAAUGCUUUUUACAAUUUGACCUAAUUAUAUGCAUUGUAAAAUAAACACCAUUAUUUCAAACAAAACACCUAUCUUUUUACAAUAUGUUUUAUUUCUGUUUGAAUUCUGUUGUUACAAUGUUAGUGUUUUAAAAUGUGAUGGAAAAUAUAAUGCUUCUAAGGAGGAAAGCCAGUGGAAUGAAUGUUUAAAAGAUCUUCAUGUGUUUACGGUCUGCAGAAGGAUUUUUGUGAUGAGAGGGGAUUUUUGAAAAAUCUAGAGAAGUAGCAUAUGGAAAAUUAUAAUGUGUUUGUGUGUAUAUGUGUGUGUGUGUUUUACAAAGAUUUCUGCUCUGUUUUUAGCCAGAAACUCUAAAAACUAAAAUAAUAACAAAGAAAAAUAAAUAAAAGAGAGACAGAAG
rnacentral:lncRNA from 1 species